rnacentral:rRNA from 1 species
UACAGGGGGGGCAAGCGUUGUUCGGAAUUACUGGGCGUAAAGGGCUCGUAGGCGCCAACUAAGUCCGACGUGAAAUCCCUCGGCUUAACCGGGGAACUGCGUCCGAUACUGGUUGGCUUGAGUUUGGGAGAGGGAUGCGGAAUUCCAGGUGUAGCGGUGAAAUGCGUAGAUAUCUGGAGGAACACCGGUGGCGAAGGCGGCAUCCUGGACGGUUACUGACGCUGAGACGCGAAAGCGUGGGGAGCAAACAGG